CUUAAUGGUGCCUCUACAAUGGGUUUCAGAUUUGAUCUAAUCAAAUUCAGUUCUAUGGAUUCUCUAGAUUGUGUCAAUUUUUUUACCUGUCAAACUUCAUAAGUUCCACAUUAAAGACAUCAAUACCUUCACCGAGGUACUCUUUUUCUAAAAGAAAUACCGAACAACUCUUGUUCUUUAGCAUGGUAAAAGUUAUAUCCCCUAGAUUCUUUGGAAUAUCCUACAAAAUAAUACAUAUAAGAUUAGGAUCCAAGCUAAUCGAUCUGCAAAUGCUCGACAUAAACUAAACACUCCCAAACCCCAAAGUAAGAAAGUAUCGACUUAUGCUUAGUCUAUAUCUCAUAUGGAGUCCUCACAACUGAUUAAUUCAGAAUUCAGUUCAAAAUAUAACAAAUAGUCUUAAGAGCAUAACCUUAAAUAGAGACUGACAGACUUGUAAAUCCCAUCAUGGAUCGAACUAUGUCUAACAAAGUCGAUUCCAAUAGGAGAGAAUCCUAUUCUCUUUUAGAUAUGUCAAAACUUACUUAAAAUGCAUUCUCCUCUUCGGUCUGAC
rnacentral:lncRNA from 1 species